UUAACUUUCUCUCACCAAUCCAUGCUGAAGUAUGGGAGAGGUUUUCCUUGGUUUCAUUUCUUCUUGAAUCUUCUGUUUUUCUUUUCUGUCAGUGGCAGCUUGUUCGUAGAGAAGGACAUAAAGAGUUGUGGAGUGAUUGCUGUCUAGCAGUGAAGCAGAGGGGAUGUGUGUAUGUGAGGGGCACUCACUUCAGAGUUUUAUACUCUUCUCAUCCUUCCUAUUUCCAAGAAACACCUCUUUCAGGCACGUUUAGAUUCAAAGUUGGAUGCUGUCACUCUUUCAUUGGCUUCAUGGUUGGCUUAGUUCCUGAAUAUGCAACAUUUCUGAUUGCUUUUGUUCUUCUUGUGGCAGGAAAACAUCAGGGUUUGAAAAUUCCACACAUGACUGACGAGAGACAGCUGCAGGCCCAGGGCUCUACUCCUCAACAGAGCUUUCUGCAGGAAGGUUGGACUACAGAUGCCCGCUCUGCAUCGACCUCUGAGCUGCUGCUUAAAGUCAUAUUCAGUGUAUGAAGAACUCAAGUCUUCUGAUUCAGUCUUCAUGUAAGAAGGGCAUGAAGUGGAUGAAAGCAUAUUAGGAGUCAGGAACUCCUGAGUAAUGAUCCUAGGUGUGAAAGCAACUCCCACUGUGUGACAACAAUCUAACUGUUCUGUCUUAGUUUCCCCAUAUGUAAAAUGAGUAAAUACCUAACUCAAGACUACUGUAAAGAUUGUUUUAAGUAACUGAAAAUAAAAAGUGCUAAGUAAAUGUGUUACUUAUAAAAGUCCUUCAUGCAUCUACUAAAGUGGGUUUAUUGCUGUCAAUCUAUUUAAAUCUCUUUUAUACCAUUUUAGAAACAAGGCAAUCAAAACUGAAUGAAGUAUUAA